CGAGGGAGGUGGUACCUGAUGAUCACAACAGAUGGAUUAGUUCAGUUCCAGUACAUGAUUAGUGAAGUGCAAGGGGAAACAGAUGUGGGUGACGCCAUGCAGUCCUAGAUGGGAUAAUUUUACAUUCCAACUAGGGUUGGUUUUGUGUGGUUCAUGUACCUUGGAUACUUUUCUCCCUUAGAUUAGUGUGAAGCUUGAGAUGAUAUUACCUGACAAGCACUUUUGAUGGAUGCAACGAGUUAUGUUUGCAGUUGUCGUUCAUUUUUUGUUUUGGUAUGUAUACUCGUUGCCAUCUGUUCAAAGUUUUUUUUUGAACUUGGAACACUGUGGUUCCUUUGUUCUUGAAUGUACCUAUUUAUAUUUUUCCUUUUAGUCAAACUGUUAUAGGCA